rnacentral:rRNA from 1 species
AUUGAACGCUGGCGGUAUGCUUUACACAUGCAAGUCGAACGGUAGAGGGGCAACCCUUGAGAGUGGCGAACGGGUGAGUAAUACAUCGGAACGUGCCCAGUCGUGGGGGAUAACGUAGCGAAAGCUACGCUAAUACCGCAUACGACCUGAGGGUGAAAGCGGGGGACCUGCAAGGGCCUCGCGCGAUUGGAGCGGCCGAUGGCAGAUUAGGUAGUUGGUGAGGUAAAGGCUCACCAAGCCGACGAUCUGUAGCUGGUCUGAGAGGACGACCAGCCACACUGGGACUGAGACACGGCCCAGACUCCUACGGGAGGCAGCAGUGGGGAAUUUUGGACAAUGGGCGCAAGCCUGAUCCAGCCAUACCGCGUGCAGGAAGAAGGCCUUCGGGUUGUAAACUGCUUUUGUCAGGGAAGAAAUCUUCUGGGCUAAUACCCUGGGAGGAUGACGGUACCCGAAGAAUAAGCACCGGCUAACUACGUGCCAGCCGCCGCCGUAAAAC